AGUCAGAGGCGAUGAAGGGCGUGCUAAUCUGCGAUAAGCGCCGGUAAGGUGAUAUGAACCGUUAUAACCGGCGAUACCCGAAUGGGGAAACCCAGUGUGACUCGUCACACUAUCAUUAACUGAAUCCAUAGGUUAAUGAGGCGAACCGGGGGAACUGAAACAUCUAAGUACCCCGAGGAAAAGAAAUCAACCGAGAUUCCCCCAGUAGCGGCGAGCGAACGGGGAGGAGCCCAGAGCCUGAAUCAGCAUGUGUGUUAGUGGAAGCGUCUGGAAAGGCGCGCGAUACAGGGUGACAGCCCCGUACACAAAAGCGCAUGUGCUGUGAGCUCGAUGAGUAGGGCGGGACACGUGGUAUCCUGUCUGAAUAUGGGGGGACCAUCCUCCAAGGCUAAAUACUCCUGACUGACCGAUAGUGAACCAGUACCGUGAGGGAAAGGCGAAAAGAACCCCGGCGAGGGGAGUGAAAAAGAACCUGAAACCGUGUACGUACAAGCAGUGGGAGCCCCACCACCAAAGCAUUUGCUGUACCGCGUUGACGGAGCGAAGCGACGUCAAACCGAUAAAACAGCAGUGUAAAGUGAGCCGCAGGGCGCUUUGCGCGACAGCGCAAAGGCAGGCGGUUUCGCGUAGCGAAAGCGAAUGCUUUGGGGUGGGGUGACUGCGUACCUUUUGUAUAAUGGGUCAGCGACUUAUAUUCUGUAGCAAGGUUAACCGAAUAGGGGAGCCGGAGGGAAACCGAGUCUUAAUUGGGCGUUAAGUUGCAGGGUAUAGACCCGAAACCCGGUGAUCUAGCCAUGGGCAGGUUGAAGGUUGGGUAACACUAACUGGAGGACCGAACCGACUAAUGUUGAAAAAUUAGCGGAUGACCUGUGGCUGGGGGUGAAAGGCCAAUCAAACCGGGAGAUAGCUGGUUCUCCCCGAAAGCUAUUUAGGUAGCGCCUCGUGAAUUCAUCUCCGGGGGUAGAGCACUGUUUCGGCUAGGGGGCCAUCCCGGCUUACCAACCCGAUGCAAACUGCGAAUACCGGAGAAUGUUAUCACGGGAGACACACGGCGGGUGCUAACGUCCGUCGUGAAGAGGGAAACAACCCAGACCGCCAGCUAAGGUCCCAAAGUCAUGGUUAAGUGGGAAACGAUGUGGGAAGGCCCAGACAGCCAGGAUGUUGGCUUAGAAGCAGCCAUCAUUUAAAGAAAGCGUAAUAGCUCACUGGUCGAGUCGGCCUGCGCGGAAGAUGUAACGGGGCUAAACCAUGCACCGAAGCUGCGGCAGCGACACUGUGUGUUGUUGGGUAGGGGAGCGUUCUGUAAGCCUGUGAAGGUGUGUCGUGAGGCAUGCUGGAGGUAUCAGAAGUGCGAAUGCUGACAUAAGUAACGAUAAAGCGGGUGAAAAGCCCGCUCGCCGGAAGACCAAGGGUUCCUGUCCAACGUUAAUCGGGGCAGGGUGAGUCGACCCCUAAGGCGAGGCCGAAAGGCGUAGUCGAUGGGAAACGGGUUAAUAUUCCCGUACUUGGUGUUACUGCGAAGGGGGGACGGAGAAGGCUAUGUUGGCCGGG
rnacentral:rRNA from 2 species